rnacentral:rRNA from 1 species
UACAGAGGUCCCGAGCGUUGUUCGGAUUCACUGGGCGUAAAGGGUGCGCAGGUGGGUUUGCAAGUUUGAUGUGAAAGCCCCGGGCUUAACCCGGGAAUGGCAUUGAAUACUGCAGAUCUGGAGGAUUGGAGGGGGGACUGGAAUUCUUGGUGUAGCAGUGAAAUGCGUAGAUAUCAAGAGGAACACCAGUGGCGAAGGCGAGUUUCUGGACGGUAACUGACGCUGAGGCACGAAGGCCAGGGGAGCAAACGGG